UGAGCAAACCGAUCUAUCGUUCCGUUUAGGCGGAAAGGAAAGUCCGGGCAACAUAGAGUAUCAUGCUUCCUAACGGGAAGGGGUUUAGAUAGAAAUAACUAAACUACAGAAAGUGCCACAGAAAAUAACCGUCCAGACGCUUGCCGUCUGGGUAAGGGUGAAAAUGUGAGGUAAGAGCUCACAACUAAGUAUGGGAACAUGCUUUUUGGGUAAACCUCAUGAGUUGAAAGGCCAAAUAGGUUGUAAAUGUGAGGCUACUCGCCUUUGUAGGUUAAACCUUGUUGCAAUGGGUAGGCUGCUAGAGCUUUUUAGCGAUAAAAAGCCCAGAUAAAUGAUAGAAUAAAACAGAACCCGGCUUAUGGGUUUGCUCUUUUU
rnacentral:RNase_P_RNA from 1 species